GGGGGAGGGUUGAGAUCUCACAAACAUGUUUAACCCCGCCGCAUUUUUGCGCCUGUCCCAAGUCAGGAGCCUCUGGCCUUUGUUAGUCUUGUAUUAUUUAAUUUUAGUUUCUUGUGUACAAUUUGGAAAUUAGUAUGGCGUUCAUUAUCACUGAACUAGUAUAUAUUUGUUUAGGGGCCAGUUGAAGGACGCCUCUGGGUGCGGGAAUUUCUCGCUACAUUGAAGACCUGUUGGUGACCUUUUGCUGUUGUUUUUUCAAUGGUCGGGUUGUUGUCUCUUUGGCACAUUCCCCAUUUCCAUUCUCAAUUUUACGUAUAAACUAAUAGACUUAAAAUAAACUUAAAACCAAUGUAUGCGAAUUAAAAAUAUCCAAAUAUCUAAAUAUAGUUCCGGAAAGAUUAAGGAAUCUAAAACUAUGCCAUGUAAAUUAAACUAGGGAUAUUGAAAGGUUGAAAUAAAAAAUUAAAGUCAUGUAAAUAUCUCACGAUGCAUGUGGGAUUCAGGAAUUAUACAUCUACAACGAAGUCAUGAUUAAACUGUUUAAUUAUAUAAGAAGCAAGUGAAAGUUAAAACACUUAAAAGAUAUGAAAUCGUACCGUGCAUCUAGAUGCACGGAAA
rnacentral:lncRNA from 1 species